rnacentral:rRNA from 1 species
CGGAUGAACGCUAGCUACAGGCUUAACACAUGCAAGUCGAGGGUAGCAGGGUAGCAAUACCGCUGACGACCGGCGCACGGGUGAAUAACACGUAUCCAACCUUCCCAUCACUCGGGGAUAGCCUUUCGAAAGAAAGAUUAAUACCCGAUAGUACUUUUUUGAGGCAUCUUAAGAAAGUUAAAGAUUUAUUGGUGAUGGAUGGGGAUGCGUUCCAUUAGAUUGUUGGUGAGGUAACAGCUCACCAAGUCUUCGAUGGAUAGGGGUUCUGAGAGGAAGGUCCCCCACAUUGGUACUGAGACACGGACCAAACUCCUACGGGAGGCAGCAGUGAGGAAUAUUGGUCAAUGGGCGAGAGCCUGAACCAGCCAAGUAGCGUGAAGGAUGAAGGUCCUAUGGAUUGUAAACUUCUUUUAUAGUAGAAUAAAGUGAUCCACGUGUGGAUUUUUGUAUGUAUACUAUGAAUAAGGAUCGGCUAACUCCGUG